AGCAGCGUGGCUCAGUGGAAAGAGCCUGGGCUUGGGAGUUAGAGGUCAUGGUUCAAAUCCUGGCUCUGCCA
rnacentral:tRNA from 1 species